AUGGAGGAUGCACAUUGCUUCCCCUUCGAGGAUGUGAUGGCGGGGUUCGGGGUCAAGGAGGAGCAUGGCCUUUCCGACGCCCAGGUGAAGGAGUACCAAGAGAAAUAUGGCCCCAACGAAUUACCGGCAGAGGAGGGGAAGUCACUCCUCCAGCUGAUCCUUGAACAGUUCGACGACUUGCUUGUGAAAAUCCUUCUCCUGGCAGCCAUCAUUUCCUUCGUCCUGGCUUGCUUUGAGGAGGGCGAGGAGACCGUCACCGCCUUCGUGGAGCCCUUCGUCAUCUUGCUCAUCCUGAUCGCCAACGCCAUCGUCGGUGUGUGGCAGGAGCGCAAUGCCGAAUCUGCCAUCGAAGCGUUGAAGGAGUACGAGCCCGAGAUGGGCAAGGUGGUCCGCGCCAACAAGGCGGGCGUGCAGAAGAUCCGCGCUAGGGAGAUUGUCCCUGGUGACCUCGUUGAGAUCUCGGUUGGUGACAAGAUUCCAGCAGAUCUUCGUCUGAUCAAGAUCUAUUCAACAACUUUGCGCAUUGAUCAGUCUAUCCUGACUGGCGAGUCAGUUUCUGUUAUCAAGCAUACUGACCCUAUUCCUGAUCCCAAGGCUGUCAACCAGGACAAGAAGAACAUCCUGUUCUCAGGGACAAAUGUUGCUGCUGGAAAGGCUCGUGGUGUUGUCAUUGGCACUGGUCUUGCAACUGCUAUUGGUAAGAUCCGAACCCAGAUGGCUGAGACUGAAGAAAUCAAGACACCCCUGCAACAGAAGCUUGAUGAGUUUGGUGAGCAACUGUCCAAAGUUAUCUCCCUCAUCUGUGUUGCUGUAUGGGCUAUCAACAUUGGACAUUUUAAUGAUCCUGCUCACGGUGGUUCCUGGAUCAAGGGUGCUAUCUACUAUUUCAAGAUUGCUGUUGCCUUGGCUGUAGCUGCCAUCCCUGAAGGUCUUCCUGCUGUCAUCACCACUUGUCUUGCCCUAGGUACCCGUCGUAUGGCAAAGAAGAAUGCCAUUGUCAGGUCUCUUCCUUCAGUAGAAACUUUGGGUUGCACUUCUGUUAUUUGCUCUGAUAAGACUGGCACACUAACUACCAACCAGAUGUCUGUCUCACGUAUGUUCAUCAUGGACAAGGUUGAGGGUAAUGACUGCUCUCUUCUGGAGUUUGAGAUCACUGGCUCCACAUAUGAACCUAUUGGAGACAUUUACAUGAAAGGUGCAAAAGUUAAGGGUUCUGAUUUUGAGGGACUGCAAGAAUUGUCCACUAUCUCCUUCAUGUGUAAUGACUCUUCCAUUGAUUUUAAUGAAUUCAAGAAUCUAUUUGAGAAGGUUGGUGAAGCAACUGAGACUGCUCUUAUUGUCCUUGGUGAGAAGAUUAACCCUUACAGCAUAUCUAAGGCUGGUCUGGAUCGCCGUGCAUCUGCUAUUGUUGCCAGGCAAGAUAUGGAGACAAAGUGGAAGAAGGAAUUUACCUUGGAGUUCUCCCGGGACCGCAAAUCCAUGUCAUCAUAUUGUGUUCCUCUUAAACCUACUCGCUUGGGAACUGGGCCAAAGAUGUUCUGCAAGGGAGCUCCAGAGGGUGUUCUUGAUCGUUGUACCCAUGUCCGUGUUGGCACCCAGAAGGUUCCUCUUACUGCUGGUGUUAAGGAAAAGAUUCUUGCUGUAACCCGUGAUUAUGGUUGUGGUCGUGACACCCUUCGUUGCCUGGGUCUUGCUACCAUUGAUACUCCAAUGAAGCCUGAGGACAUGGACCUGGGAGAUUCUACAAAGUUCUACACCUAUGAAGUUAACAUGACCUUUGUUGGUGUGGUAGGUAUGCUUGACCCACCCCGUAAGGAAGUUUUUGACUCCAUCCAGAGGUGCCGUGCUGCUGGUAUCCGUGUAAUUGUCAUUACUGGAGACAAUAAGGCUACUGCUGAAGCUAUAUGCCGUCGUAUUGGAGUUUUUGGUGAAGAAGAAGACACAACUGGCAUGUCUUAUUCUGGCCGUGAGUUUGAUGAGCUUACUCCUCCAGAUCAGAGGAUUGCUUGCAUGCGUUCCCGUCUCUUUUCUCGCGUAGAGCCCUUCCACAAGUCAAAGAUUGUUGAGUAUCUUCAGGGUGAAAAUGAGAUCUCAGCCAUGACUGGAGAUGGUGUGAAUGAUGCACCUGCUCUAAAGAAGGCUGAGAUUGGCAUUGCUAUGGGCUCAGGCACAGCUGUAGCCAAAUCAGCAUCUGAAAUGGUGUUAGCUGAUGACAACUUCUCUUCUAUUGUAGCUGCUGUUGAAGAAGGACGUGCUAUUUACAACAACAUGAAACAGUUUAUCCGUUACCUGAUCUCUUCCAACAUUGGUGAAGUUGUGUCCAUCUUCUUGACAGCUGCUCUUGGUCUUCCUGAGGCCCUUAUCCCUGUUCAGCUUUUGUGGGUCAACUUGGUAACUGAUGGGUUGCCUGCUACUGCACUGGGCUUUAACCCUCCUGAUCUUGACACCAUGAGCAAGUCCCCUCGCAAAGCUGAUGAAUCCCUUACCUCUGGCUGGCUCUUCUUCCGCUACAUGGCCAUUGGUGGUUAUGUUGGAGCAGCCACUGUCUUUGCUGCAUCUUGGUGGUUCAUGUAUGAUCCUACUGGCCCACAAUUAAACUAUUACCAACUGUCUCAUCAUCUGUCCUGCCUGGGUGAUCCUGAAAACUUUGAGGGUCUAGACUGCAACAUUUUCAGUCAUCCUGCUCCCAUGACAAUGGCCCUGUCUGUGCUGGUCACCAUCGAAAUGCUGAACGCUCUUAACAGCUUGUCUGAGAACCAGUCGCUGCUGGUGAUGCCUCCCUGGGUCAACUUCUGGCUGCUGGCGGCUAUGGCCCUGUCCAUGACCCUCCACUUCAUCAUCCUGUACAUCGACAUCCUCAGCACUGUGUUCCAGGUGAUGCCACUGUCUGUUGACCAGUGGCUUGCUGUCAUGAAGAUUUCUGUCCCUGUAGUGCUGAUGGAUGAGACUCUCAAGUUCAUCGCCCGUAAUUACACCGACGGUGAGAACCCACUCUUUUCCUGCCACUGGAUUGUGCUAGCCUGGGCUAUCUAUUUUACCUACAUCAAGAUUUACUUCUUUUAA
rnacentral:misc_RNA from 1 species